ensembl:lncRNA
AAAAAGAAAAGGGGGGAAGGAAGGAAGAAAAGAAAAAGAGAGAGCCACGUUUUUGUUUAUUCCCAGGCAUUGUGUUUAGAAUACUCCCUGUCUGGAAUUUCUCAGUUCUUCUCUUAGAAUCCCCGUGAAAGCUUCCGUUUGUACCAUACCACUUUUUCCUACAUUUUUGUAAGGUUUGUUUUAGACCUUUGUUUUUUCUGGCAUGAAAAAAAAUCUGCUUCAUCAGUUAGGUUAUAAACUUCAUGGUGGCAGAAAUGGAACCUCAGUAUUCAAAGGGACUUCGUGAAAUGCGACCUAUUCUAAGGUCACAUUCUAAAUGUGAUCUAGUUUUUCCCAUUGUGAGAAUCCCAUUGGUCACAGUUCUGGUACUUCUGAAAAUUCUCCUGAAGCUCUUUUAGUGCCUAACUCUUGAUAAACACUCUCUGCGCAUGAUUAAUCAAUGAAACAUUCUUUGUGCAUAAUAAGAUUAAACAGUGCCCUUAUUAUUUUAUUGAUUUAUUACAUUAAUUUCUUUUAUAUUUCUACCCUGCCAUGUUCCCCAAAAUACACACGAUGGGAUAAGAAUUAGUUAUGGUGUCUUAACCUUAUGCCACGCUGAGCAGUGAGUUAAAGUACAGCUUAUGUGCCUUUAUUUCCUGAUUUUCUAGCCUCAGCUCAGCUGACACUUCCUCCUGGAAGCCUUCCCUGACUUCACCAUAAGAUAGGUAGUCCUGGAUAUGCCAAAACACGACCGAGGAUAAAUCCAUCAUAGCGCUUAGCCUUUGAAUAAAAAUUUUCUUGUCCCCUGAUUUUACUUCCCUUGUUCACUAGGCAUCCACCACCUGGUAGGCAAUGACAGCAUCUUCUUUAUCUUCAUGUGGUCACUAAUGCAGGGCCUAGGACAUGGCAUUCCACUCCUAAUCCAUCCUCUGUUCUGCAUUAGGAGAUCUCUUUACAGGGACAAGUCUGCAUGUACCCUCCCCUGCAGAAAAGCCUCUGAAGUCUCCUUUUUUGUAGCAAAAAGUACAAGCUUUAUUAAAUGUCAUUUUUUUAUAUGGCUCACUCUACCUCCCUAUCUCAUCUGUAUCUUCAUACUUCUGUUCCAGGCUUCCUCUGAAUCUUUCGGGGCUUACAUGUCCAUUUACCCCCGCAUUACUUACAUUUUGAAAGGAGAAAGCAAUCUUUCUUUUUAUUGUGCUCUUCCAUCUGAAUAUUUCUCUUCUUAGAAUGCCCUGUCCUUUCUUAAAGAUUCAGCUCCAACCUCACCUACUCUUUGGUAUUCCAAAAGCACUUUGACCCAACGUACUACAUAGCCAUCAUUCAUAUAAUAUUUCAAUAAGCACCUGCUAAGAGAUGGAGAACCAGGAGCUGGAGACUCACCACGUGAGCAUGGAAUCUCUUGACCUGUUGCCUUCAUUCAUCCCCUUAGGCAGGAAUCCUGAUUGUUUUGUCUUUGUAUUUUAAACUUUGGCUUUGUUUUCCUAAGAGUCUCUGGCCAGUGAUGACAGUUUGCAUGAAUGUGUUUUCAGGCAUUUCUUGGUCGUCGACUCUUUAUCAAUCUAAAGUCAAUAUUACAUUUUAACAACUAGUCAUUUUACAUACCAUUUAUGAAAAUGUAAAUGACUGUAGGUAGAACUUCCAGGAAUAAUUUUUUUCAGAGUGCUACAUUAGAAAACUUUUUGUCUUAAUUCUAGAAGCUGAGACAUCUUAAUGCUACCAUCUCUUUUAAUCUGUUCAUUUAGAAUUCUGUUCUUUCGCUUUUGUGCUUUCCUGUAGUUAAUUUUUGCAUUAAUGUUGUCUUUGACAUUGUGUUAGAUAUAAUGCUUUAAUUUUUUGGUAUAAUGUAUGGAGAAUUAGGUAUACAACUUCUCUACUGAUAAUGGUAACACUGAUAACGACAGUUUUAAUGUUCAAACUCCUUGCAUAUUUUAUUAAAAUGUGUUUUAUUAUUUCAUCCCAGUUUCUUCAGGAAGCUGAGCAGGCAUUAUUUAAGCAACUUUAUAAGAAAUACAAAGCUUAUUAACUAUUAUCUUUUGUUGUUGUUGAACAGUAACCUAUUGCUGUGCUUUUCAUGGAGGAAAAAUAUGCAGUAUAGAAAGAUAUAGCCCAUUAAAAUGCAGUUAACACAUAUAGAGUCUUACCAAAGCAAGCAUCACAGUCAGUUAAGUCCACAUCCAAGAUCCAGAACAAUUUCCAAGAAAUCAAACCAGGAGCAAUAAAUUCUGCUAGGUUUUCUCUCCUCUUCUCUUCUCCCCUGGGAACACACAUCCAAACAGUUGUGUUUACCUAUAGUGGAAUCACUCUUAUUUGAUCUCUACUUAAUCACAUUGCUGGAUUAGAGCUUUUCUGAUUGAUUUAUUGCUUUAAUUGGCACUCCAUUCCUUCUCUAAAACAUAUGCGCUGACAACUCAUACUGACUAAAAGCUCAUGGCACUUUGCAUACUCAGAGUCAGUAGUCCACAUUUUCUAACAUAUAUUUAUUUUUUGAUGAAAUAUACAUGUAGAAGAAUAUUUGAAACACUUAUGACUCUUUUGAAAAAGGAUAAUAAGAUAAAUUCCUGGGUACCCAUCCUCUAGUUUAAAAAACCAAAAUGUAUGUGCCCCUCCCUCACAGCAUCCCUCUAGCACUCUUCUUCCUCUUGCACUCUCUAAACAGUAGUCAACCUUUGAAUUUUCUCUAAAUUACUCUCUGAAUUUCCUCUGUGAUUUUAUAUGUACCCCUGAAAAUAUAUUGUUUUAUUUUUAUCUAUAUGUAAGUAAAAUAAUAUGCUUCUAUAUUCUAUAUUGAUUCUAUAUUGAUAUAUCUUCUGUGACAUACUUAUUUGGCUAAAUAUUAUUUUCUUUCCCUUGUUUUAUUUUUUUUCCUUGUGUAUGUUUGGAUACUAUGUGCUCAAUGUGUUUUUUUUGUUGUUGUUACCCAAACACUUUUAACACAUUUAUUUAACCACCCCCACCACCUUAUUGUCCUACAAGGUAUUCAAAGGCCUUAAAUAUUUUCAAUUUAAUCACCUCUCUUUCCAAUUUAAAUCUUAAUAUUAUUCUGUAUUUUAAUUCCCUGGUGGCUCAGAGAAUAAAGGGUCUCCCUGCAAUGCAGGAGACCCGGAUUUGAUCCCUGGGUUGGGAAGAUCUCUUGGAGAAGGAAAUGGCAACCCACUCCAGUAUUCUUGCCUGGAGAACCCCAUGGACAAAGGAGCCUGGUGGGCUACAGUCCACGGGGUUGCAAAGAGUUGGACACAACUGAGCGACUUCACACACACUCAUACUUUUUGGGACGGUCAGUGUUGAUUUAAAUUUACCCACAUUUCCCAUCUUUUUAAAAUCUUUGUGUCUCAGAUACUCUGUGAUUGUUUUUCUUCUCUUUAAACUACAUGCCAUAGAUUUUACUCCAAGGAGAAGCUAGGUUGAGCUUCUCAUAUAUUAUUUGUCUGAGAAUGUCAUUACCUUCUUUCUUGAACAAUAGCUCAAUUUUUUUUCUCAUAACAUUGAAGAUAUUAUCCCAAUUCUAUCUGGCUUUCAUUGUUGUUGUUGAUAAAUCAUAAAUUGGUCUAAUAUCCAUUUCUUGGUAGAUAAUUUAUGUUUUAAGAUGUUCUUUUUUCAUUUUUUGUGUUCUUCAGGAUUAUUAUUAUGAUUGAGGUAUCUAUUUCUUUUUUACUUAUUCCCCUUGGGAUUUAUUGUAGCUCCUAGUCCUGAAUGUUGAUAUCUUUAAAUAGUUCUGGAAAAUUCUCAACCAUUUUUGAACAUUAUCUUUUCUUUAUUUUCUAUUAUCUCCGUGGCAGAGACAAAGCUUUGAACAUUCCAGACAGAAUACUCUUAGCUUCAGCAGGCUAUUCAGUAGCAUUACUGACACAGGAUGACUUUACUAUUUUGGGCAUUUAUUAUUAUUCAGUGGGAGCAUGGAUUUGGAUUGUAAACUUCUAUCAGUUCAGUUCAGUUGCUCAGUCGUGUCCGACUCAUAAUGAUGGUCUAUUGACAACAAAUUCUUUUUUUAAAAUUUUAUUUAUUUAUUAUUAUUAUCAUCUUUUACUUUACGAUAUUGUAUUGGUUUUGCCACACAUUCUUGAAUGAGCUUUUUUCUCUCUCUUGAUUCAGCAUAGGAUCAAUAAAUGCAAUGAGUCAAUAAAUGAAAUUUUCCUUGUGUCCCUUUUUAUCUUGAGUAGGCAGUCCUUGGAAGCUGAACCUAGUGAAGUUUGUCUUCACAGUUCCCAUCCUUGGGUAAAUCCUAGAUUUUAACUCCAGUCCUCUGUGCCUUUCAUAGCAUAAAAGUGGAGCUCAGGAACUCCAGGGUCUACCAGAAACCUCUACAUGUAAUCUGAUUUUGGUAUCUUUUAUCUUUCAAGGUUCUUGUUUCCACUUUUACCUUGACCUCUGUGAAUUACUUCCUUUAUGCCAACUCAGCAGUUCUUUUUAAAAGACUGAAUAUAUAUAUAUAUACAUAUACCUUAUCCAAUACUUUAGCUAUUUUAGUCAGGAAGGUUGUUCAGAAAGAUCUAGUCUAUCAUACUGCUAAAAUAGAAACCAUUAUAGGCUAUCCUCUAGAACUUCACUCAUGCACAGGCACCAGUCAGGUGGUAUGCUUAGUAAUAUUAGAGAUGUCUGUUACCAAACUGGCUUACUACAUACAUCUUUUAGUAUAACUAAUUAAUUUAUAGAAAUAUUAUCCUAACUGAUUAAAAAAUUAAGUAAAAGCUUUUGUCCAUUAUGAAAUAAUAAUGGCAAGUCUCAAUAAAGAUGAGCUGUUUAAAAACAGUUGAAUUAAACCUGGGAAAAAUAACAGUAAAAGAUUUGUAAAAAAAAAUUGGAAGACUCCAGAAUGAUUCUGUUCUCAGAUUAUUUCACAAGUGUCUUUAAGUUCUUGUUCCACUUUCACAAAAUAAAAAUGGAAAUUAAUGCUGUAUUAUAGGUAUGAUUUAUGCAAGAAAGAUGGCUUGGAAGCCAGCUGAGAGAAUUUUACUUGAACAGAAGGUAUUAGAUUCACACGCAAAAAUUAGUGGAUAAAAAUAUUUUAGGUAUAUAUGUAACAUCUUUUGUAAUUCCUAUAUCUAAUAUACUUUUUCCAUAAACAGGUCCUGAGUGUGGGAGAAAAGAGAGCUGCUAGCAAUCGUAAACCCUCAUAUGCAUAUUAAUUAACACACUUUGGUACUAGACUAUGUGUGUAGCAAAGUUUUUUGGAGGUAUAUUUUUUUAUUCCCCAACUUUGCCUGUUGAGUUCUCAGUCGUGUCCAACCCUUUGCAACUGCAUGAACUGUAUGUAGCUUGCCAGGCUCCUCUGUCCAUGGCAUUCUCCAGGCAAGAAUACUGGUAGUGGAAUACCUAAAGCGUUUAUUAAAUAAAAUAAUUUAACUGAUCUUAUUGCCAAAAUUCAAAGAUUUAAAACAUCCAAUUUUAGUGAGUAGAAAAGUCACUUUUUCCCCACUUCAUUGAGGUAUAAUUGAUUAUAAACAUUAUACAUAUUUAAGAUGAAUAGUAUAAUGAUCUGAUACACAUAUACUUUGUACGAUGAUUGCCACAGUCAGUUUAAUGAACACAUUCAUCAUCUCACAUAGUUCCUUUUUUUGUGUAUGAGUAUUGAGUACAUGGAAGACUCUCAGCAAAUUUCAUUACACUGUUAGCAAAUUUCAAGUAUUAUGAACUGUAGUCACCAGACAACAAACAAUUUUUAAUUGGCUGUUUCAUAUCCUUCAUUGUUAAAAAAGUUGUUGAGACUGUUUAUUUCGAAGCACUUGUUUUUUGGUUACUACUUUUUACUUUCCUCAUAGUUUCUAUCUUCUAGAGCCUUUCCUUCAUUUUUAUUCUCUUGUUUUAAGUCUAUCUUUUUUUUUCACAGUUUAGUGUGACAUUGAUGUAUUUUACAUGACAAAAGUAUACUUCUUAUCCUCAGAGGAAUUUUGUCUUUGACUUUAAAAAAGCAUUAACUUUUUUUGCUUUAUGAUUUUUAUCAGUUUUCUGCUUUGUACCAUUGAGUUUGUUAGAAUAUGCCAUACCCUGUUUAAUUUUAAGUCACAUAACAAGUGUUUCUUAUAAUAUCAUAUUAUAAUUUACUCCACUUGGUAUCACUUGAAACUUAAUCCAGUUAUGUCUAGUUCUAAACCACUGGCUUUGUUUAUUUUCUUUCAUAGCCAAACUAAAUGCAGUCCAAACAACGUACUUUUCUUAAUCUAAAAUGUGAGAAUUUGAUGUGAGUUUUCUCUUUCCAGUCAAGCCCUUGUCUAGGAUGACUAGUUCAGCCAUUCAGUUUCCCUUUAGCAUGGUCACUAGAGUAUUAGCUCCAAGAUGACCCUUUCUACCUUUUUCUUCUUUGACUCUUCAGUAUUUUCUAAUGUGCCAGCAUGUAGUAGGCACCAUAUUUGUUUAAUUGAAAUGUCCCUCUUUCUUCUUCUUCCAACUCAAAACUUCUCAUAGAUCUCUUCUCCAACCUCAUUAACCUAAUGGUCAUCUCCUAGUGUGAUCUGGCUUGUGGCAUAGGGUAUGUGUAACAGAAUUUCAUAAAAUUCUGAACAGUACUGUUCUUCCAUAAGACACAGUUUCCAAAAGAUGAAAUGCUUUAAAUAAAAGAAAUGCAAAUUAAAAUAAAAAUAUGUUCAACUUCCCAAAUUUCCAGAAAUACAAAUGAAGAUAAUAUUCAGUGCUGGCAAGGUUGCCGUGAAAGAACAAGUUCACAAGGCUAUAAUUUUCAGACAGAAACUGGCCAAUAUGGUCAAAACUUAAAAAAAAUUAUGUUUGAAUCACCAAUUCCAUUUCUUAAAUGAAGAAAAAGCUUUACAUGUGAAGACUGACAUAGUUUUAUUUGUAAGAUUAAAUAGGAUAAACCACCUGAAAGUCCAAUAAUAUUAAAAUUAUUCUAUAUCUGUAGUAAUUCAUGUUGAUAGAAUAUUAUACAGCCAUUAAAAUUGUUUUAAAUAAUUUAUAAUAACGUAUAAAAGUUACAUUUUUCUUAGGCUGAUUUUCCAUGAUGCAGAAUCCUAGAUGAAGGUUUUUUGAAUCUUUAGGACGGGUUUCCCUGAGGGUGGCUUGCAGAGCAAAAGAGAAGAAAGAAGGGAGAACCAGAACAAAAAUGUGUUUUCUUGUUGUCCUUGGCUGAUGAACUCAAACCCAUCUGGACCUUCAGAGGGGUUAAGAUUUCUCCCCUGGCUCCUGACUGUCAUUGGUCAAGGGUGGCCUCAUGGGCACACCUCCAGGUUGUGCACAGGUUUCCCAUGAGUGUCUCUAGGGAAUGAGAAAUGCCUUCAGGCUGGAAGCAAAAGUCUGUGGGAGGCAUUCACCAGCUGCAUUAGGGCAUGCAGGUAUCUGCCUCUUCGGUAGUACUUGGAUAAAUAGAGAGAUUGGAGAGAUUGUGUCAUAAUGAACAAGAUUUGCUUAUUACUCUGUUGUAGUGUUGGGAGAGAAAUAUAAGAUCUGAAGUUACAUGUUCAGUAGAAUCUCAAUGAAUUGGUGCACUCACUGAUCUGUUGGGUGCAUUCACUAAUCUGUUGGGCCCGAGAGAUCCUGGGUUCCGUGAAAGCAAAAAUAGGACAAAACUCUUUUCCUUUCAGAAGCAUACUUUUCAGGGCAGAAGGAACAUUUCGGGGUGGGGGAACUACAAACAAUAAACAAAAUUUGGAAUUAGGUCAAGGUUAGAAAUGAAGAAGUAUAAAACAAAGAGACAAUGCAAUAUAAAAAAUGCUUAUAAAGAUUCAGUUAAAAAUAUACCGAAAUCAUAUUAGUGGCAGUCCCUGAGUGGUAGAACUUAUUCCAUAACAUUUCUGUAUUUUCCAAAUUUCCUAUAGUGGGCAUAGAUUUCUCUCAAUUACUGCAAAAAAAACGCAGUAAAGUACUAUUCAUCAUGCGAAAUGCUGCGCUGGAUGAAUCAAAAGCUGGAAUCAAUACUGCCAGGAGAAAUAUCAAUAACCUCAGAUAUGCAGAUGACACCACCCUUAUGGCAGAAAGUGAAGAAGAACUAGAGUCUCUUGAUAAAGGUAAAAGAAGAGAGUGAACAGGCUGGCUUAAAACAGCAUUCAAAACACAAAGAUCAAGGCAUCUGGUUCCAACACUUCACGCAAAUAGAUGGGGAAAUAUGAAACAAUGACAGACUUAAUUUUCUUGGGCUCCAAAAUCACCGCAGAUGGUGAUUGCAGUCACAAAGUUAAAAGACGCUUGCUCCUUGGAAGAAAAGCUAUGACGAACCUCAGUUCAGUUCAGUUCAGUCGUUCAGUCGUGUCUGACUCUUUGCAAACCCAUGAAUCGCAGCACGCCAGGCCUCCCUGUCCAUCACCAACUCCCCAACCUAGACAUCAUAUUAAAAAGCAGAGACAUUACUUUACCAAAGAAGGUCCAUCUAGUCAAAGCUAUGUUUUCUCCAAUAGUCAUGUAUGGAUGUGAGAAUUGGACUAUAAAGAAAGCUGAGCACCAAAGAAUUGAUGCUUUUGAACUGUGGUGUUGGAGAAGACUCUUGAGAGUCCCUUGGACUGCAAGGAGAUCAAACCAGUCAAUCCUAAGGAAAUCAGUCCUGAAUAUUCAUUGAAAGGAUUGGUGCUAAAACUGAAACUCCAAUAGUUUGGCCAUCUGAUAUGAAGAACCGAUUCAUUGGAAAGGAUCCUGAUGAUGGGAAAGGUUGAAGGCAGAAGGAGAAGGGGACAACAGAGGAUGAGAUGGUUGGAUGGCAUCACUGACUCAAUGGACAUGAGUUUGAGCAACCCCUGGGAGAUGGUGAAGGAUAGGGAAGCCUGGCGUGCUGCAGUUCAUGGGGUUACAAAGAGUCAGACACGACUGAGAGACUGAACAACAAUAACAAAAAGUACUAUUAAAAAUUAUUAACAAGAGGGAUGGGGAUGACUUAAUCACCUAGGUGGUUCCUGGAAGUCACCCCAUAUCCCAUUCUGUACUUGGUCUUCCUUCUGAUGGCUUUGGGCUUUGGAUUCCCUUUCUGCUUAUUUUUCACAGCGUUUCUGAAGUUUCACAUAGGGGAAACAGAUGUAUGGGUCUGUGUGGGUGGGUAUGUGUGUAAAUGAAAAGAAAAUUGCUGAAAACAAGGACAUUUCCAAAAUUGCCAUGCCCUUAACAAGAAUUUGGUGAGCCAGUGCUUCCAAAAUAUAACUUACCCACUCACUACUUGUUAACAAGGCCAGCCAUCCAUGAACUUGAUUUCCUUUUUGGAGUUUGGGUGUCUGAACAUUGUAAUGGAUGGAUUGGGAGUACAGUCUAAUACUGUAGGCAACAUAGCCAGCAAUUGUUUAAGUUCGGGAUAAACUAUGGGUAGACCUAGGUUUUCAAUUUUCAAGGUGCCUACUUAACAUUGCGAUGGGCAACUCAACGUUGCUUUCCUGUUCCCCAUUACACGGUAUUGCCAGAAACACAAAUCUAUAAGGGGCUGUGCCGCUGACCAUCUGCUUGGUACUCAGGACUCCAAAUGGCCCCAAAAGGUGGUGGCUGUUUGCAAAGCUCAGACGUUUGAACUGCAUUAAGUAUCUGUCUGAAUUUUGUUUGGCUGACCUCUAAAGAAUGGCAGAGGAGACCAAUGCAGACGUCAAGUGCCCAGCAAAGGUACCUUCUGGGACAGUCUUGCUCCCGUCCCGGAUGCCAGUGUGACCAUUUCAGCAAUUGUGCCUUUCCCCAGGAUAAAAUGAAUAUUAUGUCAGUGAAGCCAGAAUCAGAGAGUGAUGAUCUGAGAAUCAGUGAGAAGGAAGAUGCUGACCUUGGAGAGGUUUAAGAAUGCCUUACGAAUAGCUAUCCGGAACAUAAUUAAAGGCAUUUUAACAUUAUAAGCCUUGAAGAAUGCGAACCAUCACCACUGCACACUGGGGAGUAAAAGAUAUUGCUUUUAUAGCUGCAGAGCUUAUGGUCAGAAGUGAUAUGAAAUAUUAGAAAUGUGACAGUUUUAUAAUAAUUUUAUUCUUGCUCAUUGUGAUAAUUUUCAUUUGCAGCUUUUUACCUUUGCAUAUCUUGAAUUGCAUUAAGCCUUUCUCACUCCAUCCUUGUCCUGUAAUAUUAGAAGCUGAGGUUUUCAUCUGAGGAAUUACAGUAAAUGCUACAGGCACAAGCAAACAGAUAAUGGUGUUUAUGAUGCCUGUUAUUUGAAGAAUUAAAAGUUCUGAGUGAAUCUGUCCCACAGUGAAUAAAAGCAAUAGAGCCCUGAGUGAAAUAUUGCCUCUUCGUUCUUUUUAUAGUGUCACUAUCUCUUCUUGUAUCCUGUUCCUCCUCUCAGCUGCUUUUAUUUUGGGUGUGAGAAGGGGAGGCAGGAUGCUUUCUGUCAAAUAAUUUACUCUGCUUGGUUUCUUUUUUCUUUGUCUAUAUUUUUCUUCCCAUUACCUUGUGCAUUUUCUUUUCUGAAAAGAAGAAUAUGAAUAAUGUGAAUAUAAUCACUCAGGUUAGAAUUAGCACUAGAGAUCAUUUGGUUUAAAUACUUAAAUAUUUCCAUUUCUCAGACAAGGAAAUAGAAUCAAAGGAUGCAAUAGUGGCAGAGCUAGGACUACCGUCUCCUGACGCCACAAAAACAAUAGCUAGGAUUCACUGAGCAUUGGCUAGAGGGCAGGGAAGCUCUAAGCAUUCACAUGCAUUAACUCUUGCGUAUGCGUUCCAAGAAAACUUUAUUUAUAUUAAAAAAAAAAAACAGGUAGUAAGCCAGAUUUCAGGUAUGGGAGGUAGUUUCUUUGUGCUGUGCUAAGUUGCUUCAGUUGUGUCUGACUCUUUUGACCCUAUGGACUAUAGUCUGCCAGGAUCCUCUGUCCAUGGGAUUCUCCAGACAAGAAUACUGGAGUGGGUUGAUAUGCCCUGCUCUGGGGGAUCUCCCUGACCCAGGGAUCAAACCCACGUCUCUUAUGUCUCCUUCACUGGCAGCUAAGUUUUUUCCCACUAGUGCCACCUGGAAAGCUCCACCGGUGUUAGUUUGCCAACCUCUAAUUCUUUUUAGCUUCAGACUGAUUCUAUAAGAUAGGUCCUGCUAAGAUAGGUCCUGUAAGAUAGGUCACCUCCAUUUUACAGAAGAGUACACUGAGGCACAGAAUGACUAGGCAAUGUACCCAAAGUUGAAUACUCAAUGAGUGCUUCCAUGUGAAGAAGGUCAUUUGACCUGGACCUACAUCCUCUGUGGCACAAAAGUAUCCGAAAAUCUCCACUUUCUUUCCUUUCCUUUCCAUUCCUUUCCUUCCCUGGGAUAUUUUCUUGGAGGAAAAAUAUCCAUGUUAGUGUGUAGAAUCUUACACACAAGUAUGUACUGUGGGCCUAUUUUGGAUGAUGGUUUUAAAAUUUGUUCUCUUUCUAUGGUUGGCAGUGCCAUUUAGCACCGUGUUUGGUCUUCGGAGGCGAAUGCAAAAGAAGCAGCUGAUAAGGUGCUUGCCUUUGAAAAGGUUAAAAAUUUAGUUGUGAAGCCAAAGAAAUUAAAAUCAGAUAAAAAUUUACUGAAUAAUUCCUACAUGCCAGUCCAAAAUCUUCUUUAACUUAUGAUCAAGUCAAGAUUCCAAAGGCUGUUCAUUAGCUUAUUUGUUCAGAAGUCCCAGGAUACCUGACAAGCAAUCUCUGUCAGCAUAUUUCUGUCAAGUUUUGUAAAAGAACUGUGAUUAUUUGACAGUUAUGAUUUUUAAAAACUUCUUAAUCAUUUUCCCCCAAUAUGCUUGCAUUUUAAUUUUUUUAAAUAAAAAAUAAGUUGAUAGCAUGGUACUGCUUCAGACAUGCCAUUAAUUAAUGAAAGACUUGAUCCCCCCAUCUCAAGGGACCAUGCCCAACCAUCUGUUGAUGGCCGGCAGAUUGCUUCCCUUUCACCUGAGUGAAAAUCUUUGUUACAAUGCAAGUUUGUAAAUUGACUGUUCAUAAGUGAGGGGAUUUCUAGAUUAUACAUUAUAGGUGAUACAAAAGAUUACAAAAAUAUUUGAAACAAAAAUUCUGUUUCAGGAACAGAGAAUCUAGUUACAGGGAGGAGGCAUGAUCACACUUCUGAGACGCCUCCCAAUUAUUCUAUGAAUUCAUACAAGGGUUAGCUUACUUUCUUAUAAGUGAAGUCAUUCACAAUCUGUCCAUAAGUGAGCUGGUAAUUAUCGGAUGGUAUAGAUGUGUGCCAUUUGAUUGCAGAGAAAGAGUUACCUUCUUGGGUGUCAGGCAGAAGAAUGUAUUUGAGCUGAACCCUAAAAGUUGAGUAAGAUUUAGGAAGGUAGGUAGGAUUGAGGAAACAGAUUGGCCAAUCCAUUUCAAGGUCAAAAUCAAUUAUGGAGAGAAUCACCGCUGGAGCAAACUCGAACUUUCCUUCCACUGCCCCUGCCCCGUCCCUCUGUAUUUGCUGUGAGGUGGUGGUGGUGGUUGUUCAAUUGCUCUGUCGUGUCUGACUCUUUGCGACCCCAUGGACUGCAGCAUGCCAGGCUUUCCUGUCCUUCACCAUCUCCCAGAGUUUGCUUAAACUCAUAUUCACUGAGUCAAUGAUACCAUCCAACAAUCUCAUCCUCUUUUGCCUCCUUCUCCUCCUGCCCUCAAUAUGUCCCAGGAUCAGGGUCUUUUUCAAUGAGUUGGCUCUUCACAUCAGGUGGCCAAAGUUUCGGAGCUUCAGCUUCAGCAUCAGUCCUUCCAAGGAAUAUUCAGGGUUGAUUUACUUUGGGAUUGACUGGUUUGAUCUCCUUGCUGUCCAAGGGGACUCCCAAGAGUAUUCUCCAGGACCCAUGGGAAAGGAGCAGUGACCCCACAAGAGUCUGAGCCAGACUUGCUAAUAUGAUUGUUCAGAUGAAAGCACAGCUUAGAGCCAUACCAUUGUUACAGGCAGGCUUAUGGUCCUUAAAGGUGGGAGUGGCUUCUUUUCUUUGCCGUGUUGAUGUCUCUUGGUUUGAUAAGCAGAUCUUGGCAGAGCCUGCCAUUCUAGUGACUCCUGGUUUCCCAGUUAAUUAUUUUCAAUCUCUCAGUGUAUUAUAAGGUAGGCAACUCAGGCCAGGGCCCACCCUCUGGAUUUCCUCCUCAUUCCUGGUCUCGUUCUCUCUUCUCUGUAUCCUGCCACCUCUCUUCCAUCCCUCUCCAUAUAGAUUUGACAGCAUAAAACUGCCGCAGAAUUUAGACUUACAGGAAGAGAGCAGGAGUCUUAGACCCUGCCUAGGUCUCAAGACAAAAGCAAACUUGCUCCAGUUCUGCCAUGUAACAGAGUAAAGUAGGAGGAGGAUCCGUGCUCUAUUAAUUUAGUGUUCUUUUAUUCUAAACAUCCUGCUUCUGUAUUUUGCAUAAAUGUCUCCUGGGAACCUAAUGGGGAAAUAAGGAUAUUUGUUAGACUAAGAUUUAAUGUGUCUUAAUUCCUUGACUAUCAAAUCUUUACUCUUACUCCCUAAAAUGAAUAUAACUGUUUAUCCUGGAAGAGGACACCUCAGGUUGAACCUUGGUGCCAAUAGAUUUAAAACUAUUAGAUAACUUAAUUACAGCAGUUUGCGGUAGUCUUAAAAUAAUUAUGUUCUUUACAUUCUAUUUCUGAUAACUUUGGUCGUUUAUUUCCUA